AUUCCAUCUUUCUCUCAAAAAAAAAAAAAAAGUGGGAACCCAGGGGCUUCUAAAUCCAACCAUGUCCUGGCCCUGAUUAAAAUCUCCUACGACUGCCCUGGCAAACUCUUUUAGUUUGGCAUUCAUUCAUUCAUUCAAUAAACAUUCCCUGGAGUGCAUUGUCAGUGUCAGGCCCCAGGGGAACACAACAGUGACCACGACAGCCCCACCAGACCGUGACCCUGACCAGGGAGCUCACGAGUGCAGAGACAUCUACUCCAAGACCUGAAGGAGGAGUAGGAGAGAUGCUGGGGAGGAGGCAGGGAAGGGUGUUCCUGGCAGAGGGAACAGCCUGUGCGAAGGCCUGAAGGUAAGUUUUGCAUAUGACACCUUUGAGAAACUACUCAUUGUUCAACUGAAGCAGAGGCUUGUUCAGAAGAAGUCAGCCUUGUGGCCGGGUGUAAACUUCCUCCCAGGGCACCGGGGAGCCACCGUGGAGUUGUGAGCAAGGGAGAGACAGGGGUAGGCUCGUACUUCCCAGAGACUCCCCCAGCUGCCAUGUGCAGGGUGAAUGGAGUGACGCAUAGAACCCUGUUUCAGGGGGUAGUUUGGGACUUGGACUCAGGUCCCAGGGAGAGGGUCCAAGGAGCCCUUCUCUGGUCUUCCAAGCCGCCGCUCUCCCCAAGUUCCAGAUGGAAGGCGUGCCCAUGGCAACCGCUAGGUGGUGCCCGUACACCACCAGCCAGGUCUUUGUUUGCCAAAAGUAGAUCAGGCCCAGAGCUGGACAGAACUGCCCCGGGGUCAGGAGAGCAAAUCCUCUCUGUCUUUAGGUCCUGGCUCCCUGGCCAGGCAUCCUGGGCCCAUUUGACUCCCGGGCUCAGGAAGGAGCUGGCUGAGCUGCAGCGAACUGGAAAUACAGACUGGACACUCGUUCUUGCUGCAGGGGGCUGGAGCUUCUUAUCUGCUUCACUGGAUUUGGACAAUCCUGUCUCCCUCAUGGGAUUUGUGUGGUCUUGAACCUGGAACUUCACCCCCACUGGGAGCCUCAGCUUCUCCAGCUUUAAGGAGUCAGAUACCUGCCAUUGGCUGUAUUUUCCUUGUCUUGUUGACUGUCUCCUGGAUGGAUGGAAGAGUCUGUGACUCCCCAAGGGCAGGAAUCUUAUUUGGUCAACACCGGGGCAUGGCCUGAAAAACCUGUUAGCAGAGUGAAUGAAUCGGACGUGUUUGUUUUGAAAAGGACGGGUGUGGCUUGAUGCCGAGGAGCUCAGCAUCAUCUCUCAGACCCGGACUCACGUCGUCGCUCUACAGCCAGAACUCCCACAGGCUGCUGGUGGCAUGCAAGCCCCGAGCAGCCACUUUGGAAAAUGGUUUGCCAACUUCCCGCAAGAUUAAAUAUACACUUCCCAUAGGACCCAACAAUUUUAUUCCUUGGUACUGACCCGAGAUAAAUGAAAACUUAUUUUCACACACACAAAAAAACUGUAUGCACACACUCACAGCAGCUCUGUUCAUAAUUGCCAACAACUGUAAACAACCCAAAUGUCCUUCAGCUUGUACGUGCGUAAGUGAGCUGUGGUCCAUCCACAGAGUGGAAUAUCACUCGGCAAUGAAGAGGAACUGCUAUCGAUACACACAACAUGGAUGAACCUCAACUGCAUUAUGCUGAG